rnacentral:lncRNA from 1 species
CUCCUUGGUAUUCUUUGUAAAUUACCAAGGAGAUAUGCAUAUAUGUAUAAUAUAGUGUUCUAUUUUUUUUUUAAUCAGUUGACCUGAGUUUUGAAGUUCAUUUGCCUGGCACUGAUUUAAGUACUGUGGAUAAACCUGCCCUCAAGUACAUUACAAUCUAAUUGGGAAGCUAAACUGAAUAUGAAACAAUGAGCCACUAAAUGCAACAAACUGAACUGAAGAAAUGAUAAGAUCUGUGACUGAUUAGAGGUUGUCGUUGCUGCAAGUGAUGUAUCGGGAAAGACUCUGCGUCUUUGUCCCUGAUCCAUGGGAGAGAGUACAGUGCUGUGUGGAUAACAUCCCCAUGGGCCGAGGAGUCAAGUGGGAAGCACCGUGCCAUGCAUCUCUGGCUGCCUCAGAUCUUCCUCUUCUCAUCUAUGCAGCAGAAGAAAUUAUGUUGCGUGAAUAUCAGCAUGAUAUCAGUAAAUGCCUCUAAAGCCUCUGACAAUGUUUUCCAACCAAAAGGUUUUAACUUGAAACUUUCUCAUAAAAAAUACAGAUGCUCAGCUGGUAAUCAAUCAUCUAUAAUUAUGCUUUGGAGAAACUUCAUAUGCAGAGAUACUCAACUUGUCAUAGCUACAAUUUGUAAGUAAUUCUAAAAAAUUUAUAUUCUGUAAUCUCUUUGAAAGUUUAACUCAGUGACUG